rnacentral:tRNA from 1 species
GCGGGAAUCGAACCCACACCCUUCUGCUUACCGGGCAGGUGCCUUGUCCACACGGCU